CAAUUUAUAAAAGAACAAAUGCCUUAAAAAUGUUAUUUUUUAAUAAAGUAAUAAAAUAUUUUCAUUACAGUAUAUGGAUUAUUUGUUUUCUUCAAAUAAAUAAGUGCGAAUACGCGCCACUGCUCUCAGCUAAUUUCAGAACUCCUCUAUAUUUAUGAAUGGAUUCAUCCGCGACGAGUUUUCGUCUCUGCGCAUCCUUUCCAUGGAUAUCCUUUUUGGUUUCUAUGAACUCUAACUCUGAAAAGAAAUUAGGAAUUUUAUGUCUUGUGUUUGGAAUUAUGUAAUAUUGUAAAAAAAAAGAAGUGUUGAGUCGUGAAAACGGUAAGAUGUAUUACUGGUUGCCGCAUAUUGAGAACAUUUAAAUAUAAAAUAUUUUUUUUAGGAAAGUAAUAUUGGUUGCCUAUGUCAGAGGAUUUAUUAUGUUUUUACUUUUUUAUUUAGUUAUCUGAGGUUAAUUUGGUUACAAGAAUAUUUCUUUUUCACAGAAAUUAAGGUGUAAUGAUUACAAUCUUUUUCUGCAGACGAACACAUAUUGCGUUGUAGCAGUAAUUAUCACAAUAUAAUAAAACAUCACAUCAUUUAAAGUUCAUUUACCAAAUAAUAUUUUCAUUUUUUGUUUUGUUUCAGAUUUAAAUUUAAUUGUAUCAGAGAUUUAGUUUAUUAAAUAAUGACUUAUAGAUUUUAUAAAAAGAAGCGUGUAGAUGUGAAAAGUUGUAUUGCUGGUAGUCGCUCGUAAGGGGAAAAUUUUCGAAUGUUUAAGUAAAAUGGGACUUAAAAUACAAAAAUUUACAGUAAGAAUAAGAAGAAUUUUACAUGGAACAAUACAUUUAAUAUGCAACAAUAUAUUUUUAAAUGAUACUGUUUAAGUUAAAUUAAUUUAAAAUUAUUACUAUACAUAUUUUUCUAUUUUUUGUGGUCAUAUAUAUUGAGGUGGUUUCUCUUUUAUUUCCCCUUUUGGUAGGUUUGUCAAUAUGUUUGCCACCUCCAUCUCUUGUUCAUUAUGUGAUCUGUAAUUUUUAAAUUUUAGUUUCAUGAAGUGCUAGGGAUUUUAAUUUACUCAUUUGGUUCAAGUGUGACAACUGGAAUAAUUGCGUUUUCUUCCAUUUGUUCAGUUGUCAAUCUUGCCUCAUUUAUGUUUACAACAGGACUAAAACGUUUAUUUUUUAUUUUAAUAUUCUCUUGUGGCAAAUUUUGUGACGGGAUCGCCCCCCUUUUCAGUCUAUAAUUUUUAUUAACAUGUCCUACGGCACAUAUAAAAAAUAAAGGGAAAACUUCAGCAUUAUUUAUAAUUACGUCUGUUAAAAAAGAAAUCUUCAUCGCGGAAAUGUUUGCUACAUACCCGCAUAUAUUCAGUUAUUCUAUUUCUUCGCACAGCAUUUCCCCAUUGUAAACGUAUUUUUUCGAAACGGGGAAAACUGUGAAACGAAAUAUUACUACCAACACUGUAAAAUGUUUUGCAACCAGGUACGCAGCAGUACAUUCUGCUAUAUUUUUUUUCGUUGUUUGGAGUUGCCAUUUCGUUCCUGGUUUACAAAAAGUACGACACACGUGGCACGUUUAUCACACAAUAAGGAGUUGAAAUUUUAUCCGUAAGAGUGUGCAGUGACUGAAGCUGACCAAUCGAUCGUAAUAAUUUUACUUCAUUGGAUAUACAGGGAAUAGUUAGAAAGUAAUUUAUUUCGGAAAAUAUAUUUUUGGCUUUUUUAACAUUUUUUUGAAAAUGUACUUAACUUACUUUAUUUACUUCAUGUUUGGCAUACUGACUAGAUAGGUGAAAACAAGAAAUGUAUUUUUUACUUUUUUCCUGCUCCCUAGUGCCUACAAAUAAAUAUAAUUUAAAGCGUCACCGAGUACAUUGACACAAGUCUAUAAUUUGGCAUUAUUAUGCCUAAUCGAAUUAAUCGUAUAAUGGCGAUAAUAAAUUUAAUAAAAAAAUGUAUGGUUCUCUUCAAUAAAUAGGCGUCAUGUUAAAUUUAUCGGCAACCAGUAAAACGCAAUUGAAUUGGAGAGAUCUAAGGAAUAAUGAUGAUGUAAAGAUUUAUGAACUAAUAAA